CGCGCUGCCCCUGCUUGCUCGCCGCCGCCUCUAUAUAAAUGGUCAAAACUAGUUUGAUCAAUAACUUUUGAAAAUGGUGUUUUCAAAACACAUUUGAAAAAACAUCAUGGCAUGAUGUUUUUCUACAAAAACACAACAAGAAAAUCACCUUGAUUACCAAACACCAUAUAAAAUUUUGCCUUUAUUGACAUUUUGUGGCAAAGAAAGUUGCUAUUCCGUUACCAAAUGGAACAAUGAAGAGCAUAAUCUAUCUAUUUACCUUUUUUGUCGUUACUCACUUGUUUUUUCAGGCUAUACAAUAUAAGAAUGUCUUGGCCAUGGCAAGUUAUGAACUAGCCGAGGUUGUUCAUGGUUUCCUUGAUAUGGUAUUGCGAAUAUUGCUUAUUGUCACAACUAUUACUCUUGUGCAUAACUUGUCUCCUCCCAAGGGAUCUUCUUGAGCAGAAAUAGCAAUGUUUCACUCGCAUUUGGUAACAAUCUGACGGAGGUCUUUAGAGAAGUAUUUAUACUGACAAUUGUUACUGCACAAGCUGUGUUUUGGCCUUUAAGGUUUUAGUUUCAAAGUGCUCAGUUUCGGAAUAGUUUACAAAUCUUAGAGUGGAACUAUGAUUUUUUUACUAUCUUCAAUUUGUGUAUGUGCCUGUGAGCGAUGCUGCUGGCAACAGUUUAAGAUUGUCGAUGCUGCUGGCAACAGUGCAAGUUAUGGCUUAUAUAUUUAACAUGCUUGAGAGUAGUCACAAGUGAAUCAGUAUUAUCUGCUUGCUGUUGUUUUUUAAA